UCGAACGGUGUAGCAUACACAGUGGGCGGACGGGUGAGUAAUGUAUCGCUAAUGUACCCUAGAGCCUGGGAUAGCUGACCGAAAGGGCAGGUAAUACCAGAUGAAAUACCUUGGUCGCAUGGCCGAGGUCUCAAAGCAGCAAUGCACUCCUGGAGCAGGCGAUAUCGUAUCAGCUAGUUGGUGAGGUAACGGCUCACCAAGGCGAUGACGCGUAGCUGGUCUGAGAGGACGACCAGCCACAUCGGGACUGAGACACUGCCCGGACUCCUACGGGGGGCUGCAGUAACGAAUCUUCCGCAAUGCACGAAAGUGUGACGGAGCGACGCCGCGUGUAGGAUGAAGUCCUUCGGGAUGUAAACUACUGUCAGGGGAAAGAAAGUUCUGAUCUACCCCAGAGGAAGAGGCGGCUAACUCUGUGCCGGCAGCCGCGGUAAUACAGAGGCCUCGAGCGUUA
rnacentral:rRNA from 1 species